UAAAACUGUUCGUAGUCCGGAUUGGAGUCUGCAACUCGACUCCAUGAAGUCGGAAUCGCUAGUAAUCGCGAAUCAGAAUGUCGCGGUGAAUACGUUCCCGGGCCUUGUACACACCGCCCGUCACACCAUGGGAGUGGAUUGCACCAGAAGUAGUUAGUCUAACCUUCGGGAGGACGAUUACCACGGUGUGGUUCAUGACUGGGGUGAAGUCGUAACAAGGUAGCCGUAGGGGAACCUGCGGCUGGAUCACCUCCUUAACGACGAAGAC
rnacentral:rRNA from 1 species